AACGAACGCUGGCGGCGGGUCUUAGGCAUGCAAGUCGAACGGGUGUAGCAAUACAUCAGUGGCGCACGGGUGAGUAACGCGUGGGAAUCUGCCCAUCACUGGGAAUAACGUUUGGAAACGAACGCUAAUACCGCAUACGCCCGAAAGGGGAAAGAUUUAUCGGUGAUGGAUGAGCCCGCGUUGGAUUAGCUUGUUGGUGGGGUAAAGGCCUACCAAGGCGAUGAUCCAUAGCCGGCCUGAGAGGGCGAUCGGCCACACUGGGACUGAGACACGGCCCAGACUCCAACGGGAGGCAGCAGCUAAGAAUAUGGGACAAUGGGGAAACCCUGAUCCAGCCACGCCGCGUGAGUGAAGAAGGCCUUCGGGUUGUAAAGCUCUUUUAGUCGUGACGAUGAUGACGGUAGCGACAGAAAAAGCACCGGCUAACUUCGUGCCAGCAGCCGCCGUAA
rnacentral:rRNA from 1 species